rnacentral:rRNA from 1 species
AGAGCGAACGCUGGCGGCAGGCCUAACACAUGCAAGUCGAGCGCCCGUAGCAAUACGGGAGCGGCAGACGGGAUAGUAACACGUGGGAACGCGCCCUUCGGUUCGGAAUAACUCAGGGAAACUUGAGCUAAUACCGGAUACGCCCUUACGGGGAAAGAUUUAUUGCCGAAGGAACGGCCCGCGUCCGAUUAGCUAGUUGGUGAGGUAAUGGCUCACCAAGGCGACGAUCGGUAGCUGGUCUGAGAGGAUGACCAGCAUCACUGGGACUGAGUCACGGCCCAGACUCCUACGGGAGGCAGCAGUGGGGAAUAUUGGACAAUGGGCGCAAGCCUGAUCCAGCCAUGCCGCGUGGAUGAUGAAGGCCUUAGGGUUGUAAAGUCCGUUUUAACGGGGAAGAUAAUGACGGUACCCGUAGAAUAAGCCCCGGCUAACUUCGUGCCAGCAGCCGC